rfam:Coniochaeta ligniaria NRRL 30616 unplaced genomic scaffold CONLIGscaffold_15, whole genome shotgun sequence.
GGUCGUUUAGCUCAGUGGCAGAGCAUCUGUCUCACAUCUAUUGUCAGAGGACAUGCACGGACACAGAGGGUCGCAGGUUCGAACCCUGCAGCGAUCA